UUGCUUGCCGGAAAGGACGCUUAAUUUGUCCGGUUUUCCACCGGCAGGCUUGGUUUUGGUGGCUGUCCGGAUGCCAGCCCCGGCAAGCAGG
rnacentral:tRNA from 1 species